UACGUAGGUGACAAGCGUUGUCCGGAUUUACUGGGCGUAAAGAGCGCGCAGGCGGUCGUUCAAGUCGAGUGUGAAAGCCCCCGGCUCAACUGGGGAGGGUCAUUCGAUACUGAUCGACUCGAAGGCAGGAGAGGGUAGUGGAAUUCCCGGUGUAGUGGUGGAAUGCGUAGAUAUCGGGAGGAACACCAGUGGCGAAGGCGGUUACCUGGAGCUUUGCUGACGCUGAUGGCGCGAAAGCGUGGGGAGCGAACAGG
rnacentral:rRNA from 1 species